UAAUGGCAACAUUCAUAGAGCUUAUUUUGGGUCACUCGCGUCGCUUCCAACUUGUACUUCGUUUGGAUUUUUGUAGAGGUGCCUUUCUCUAAACUUGCAACAUAGCAUAGUUUUGUGUUUUCAAUUUCAUUCAAUCAAGAAAGCUGGCGGGUGUGCAAAUGUGGAAUCAUUGUGAAAAUUAACUCAAAACUUACGAAAUCGUGUUAAAAUACUCUAAUUCAGUUAAUGCAAUAGUCAAGGGCAGGCGGGCGCGGCGAGCGGCACGACGGCAUCAUGGACGACGACCAACAGUUCUGCUUGCGGUGGAA